rnacentral:rRNA from 1 species
UACGUAGGGUGCGAGCGUUGUCCGGAAUUAUUGGGCGUAAAGAGCUUGUAGGCGGUUUGUCGCGUCUGCUGUGAAAAUCCGGGGCUCAACCCCGGACUUGCAGUGGGUACGGGCAGACUAGAGUGUGGUAGGGGAGACUGGAAUUCCUGGUGUAGCGGUGAAAUGCGCAGAUAUCAGGAGGAACACCGAUGGCGAAGGCAGGUCUCUGGGC